UACCGGGAUGGCCCAUAGUACCGGCGAGUGAACAGGCAAGAGCUCAGAUUUGAAAGCCCUUCGGGGCAUUGUAUUCUGAAGCCUGGGUCCUGGGAAAACGGUGUUUAAGUCUUCUGGAAAGGAGCGCCACGGAGGGUGAUAGCCCCGUAUAGCACUGACCCCAUCGUAGGUCCUAGGCGUGGAGUCGAGUUGUUUGGGAAUGCAGCUCAAAUGGGUGGUAUGCUCCAUCUAAAGCUAAAUAUCUGCGAGAGACCGAUAGCGAACAAGUACUGUGAAGGAAAGAUGAAAAGAACUUUGAAAAGAGAGUGAAAUAGUACGUGAAAUUGUUGAAAUGGAAGGGUAGGCCGCUAACCACGUAGAGCCGUGUUUGGGGGGAGGAUAAAGGCUGUAGAAUGUGGCUCUUCGGAGUGUUAUAGCUACAGUUAAUACUCCCAUCCGGGCGCGAGGACCUAAGGCUCUGCUAAAUGGUGGUCUACCACCCGUCUCAAACCA
rnacentral:rRNA from 1 species